AAGAAGGAAGCAGAGCUGGAGGAGUGAGUUCUAGCCUGAAAGGUCUGGGAACUAGCAGCUUCAGGUGGAGCAGACUGACAGAAUGAGCUCUGUAUAUGGCUGAAGGACAAGAGCUAAGUGCAAGGAAGCCACUUUGCUGCCUGGCUACUGAAGAUCAGAAAAUAUCUGAAAUGUAUUCUAACUCCUGAUGAGCAGAAAAUACUAGUACAAUUUCAGCUUAUUGGGGUAAAGUCCAUGAAGUAGCAGAUAUAAAUGUCGUCAAUAUACACCAAAAAAAGACUAAAAAGAUAUUGAUCCAGUGGAAGUAUUUGGCUCUUAAUCCUCUACUCAGGACCACUCUCAAGAGAUGCUAGUGCCAUCAAUGUCAAAAAUCUUGCACUGGUGACAUGCGGUCCUCACUCCAGAAAUCAGACUGCCAGGGUGGAGAGAAACUGGAAAAUCAGGGAAGUGGCCUGUGAAAGCUGCAGUAGGAAGGAGGCAGAGCUCUGCCUCUAUAGAGGAAUGGCACUUUAACAGAACCAUUUGUGCUGUGAGAAGUUGAAUUGUAGGCAGCUGGUCUUGCUGGAUCCAUUGAUCUGAGAGAUUCUGGAUGGCUUCUGGUUUAAAAGAGAAAGCACUGAAAUACAGAUAAAUGCCCUGAUAUUUGCCAUGGUAAUUCUGCUGAUGACCUCCUAUGUACCCUACCCCUCAUUGGAGGAAAAGCAAGAAUACAUCAAAGUGAAAGAGGCUUCUGAUGCCAAUUUCAUCAGUAAACAUAAUAUUAAAUAUGAAAUAGCCAAAAUUGAAUAGGAAAUGCCAGGAACAAGGGAAACAGCUGAGACUAUUACUGCAGUUUAUAGUCUUUCUGAAUAUACAAAUAUGGAAUAUUAAAGAACUAAUAUGAGACAGGAUAAUUUAUUGACACAUGUUUAGUUAGACCCAGAUCUCUCACUCACUCGCAGAAGGUGAGAAAGAAACAGUAUGUGACUUACAUAGAAGAAACCUAGCUUAUAAUUGAAUCAGGUGAUAUUGACCCAGUAAAGAAGAUGCAAAUAUGAAAUGGCAAUUGGAUCAAAUUUACAACAUAAGAACAGUGCACAACUAGAGAGUGGGACACCAAAGAACCUAAAUAGGAGGGAAGCAUGGAAAAGCUGAAGAAAAUUUGGCAAGAAACCAAGCCACAGCUGGCAACAGUGUGUGAUCAGCAAAAAAAUGUGGAAUGUAAUAGAUUCCAUAAAAUGGAACAUCUUGUGGUAGCAUGCAAGCCAUCAAGAGCAGUGGAAACAAUCCAAGAGGCAGAGUUAUCAGAUGGCAAUGAGACCAUACUUCUAGACACUAUAUCUUCAGUGAAACAGAGAACACCUGGAUACACACGCAUAAAUCUAUGGUCAAAACCUUAAAUUUAAAGAGGAUACUGGGUUAGCA